rnacentral:misc_RNA from 1 species
CAACAGGCCAACACUAAGAACACCGAUACCAGCAGAACCAUUAUCAAUGACGACGACAACAACAACGACUAUGACAACAGUAGCGAAAACGUUGAAUCACUGAUCAUAACUUAGGUAAUGGAAACUCGCAAGACAUUGAUGAAGAUCCCCAUAGCCGUCACUUGCCAUGUACAGCCUCGAGACCAUGAGGAGGCUCUUUGCCUCCAGCAUCCUCAUAUCGGGGCUACAAGACCAUGAGGAGGCUAUUCUUCUUGGAAUUUUACUGUGUUGAAAAAAACAAAGGACAUGAGGAUCUUUAUUGUGUCAACGGCAUCAAAGGAUACGAGUUCGAAAAGGGGAAGGUUAG